AUUGAACGCUGGCGGCAGGCCUAACACAUGCAAGUCGAGCGAGCGGCGGACGGGUGAGUAAUAUCUGGGAACCUGCCUGAUGGAGGGGGAUAACUACUGGAAACGGUAGCUAAUACCGCAUCCCAUCAGAUGUGCCCAGAUGGGAUUAGCUAGUAGGUGGGGUAACGGAUAACCUAGGCGACGAUCCCGAGCGGGUCUGGGAGGAUGACCAACCACACUGGAACUAGGACACGGUCCAGCCGCCUACGGGAGGCAGCAGUGGGGAUUAUUGCACAAUGGGCGCAAGCCCGAUGCAGCCAUGCCGCGUGUGUGAAGAAGGCCUUCGGGUUGUAAAGCACUUUCAGCGGGGAGGCGUUACCCGCAGAAGAAGCACCGGCUAACUCCGUGCCAGCAGCCGCGGUAAUAC
rnacentral:rRNA from 1 species